GACGAACGCUGGCGGCGUGCUUAACACAUGCAAGUCGAACGAUGAAGCUGGAGCUUGCUCCGGUGGAUUAGUGGCGAACGGGUGAGUAACACGUGAGUAAUCUGCCCUUGACUCUGGGAUAACUGCGGGAAACUGUAGCUAAUACCGGAUACGAGAUUUGGAGGCAUCUCCGGAUCUGGAAAGAAUUUCGGUCAAGGAUGAGCUCGCGGCCUAUCAGCUUGUUGGUGAGGUAAUGGCUCACCAAGGAGACGACGGGUAGCCGGCCUGAGAGGGUGACCGGCCACACUGGGACUGAGACACGGCCCAGACUCCUACGGGAGGCAGCAGUGGGGAAUAUUGCACAAUGGGCGAAAGCCUGAUGCAGCAACGCCGCGUGAGGGAUGAAGGCCUUCGGGUUGUAAACCUCUUUUAGUAGGGAAGAAGCGAAAGUGACGGUACCUACAGAAAAAGCACCGGCUAACUACGUGCCAGCAGCCGCCGUAA
rnacentral:rRNA from 1 species